rnacentral:rRNA from 1 species
UACGGAGGGGGCGAGCGUUAUUCGGAAUUAUUGGGCGUAAAGGGCGCGUAGGCGGCUGAACAAGUCAAAGGUGAAAUCCCUCGGCUCAACUGAGGAACUGCCUUCCAGACUGUUUUGCUUGAGGCCGGGAGAGGCGAGUGGAAUUCCCAGUGUAGCGGUGAAAUGCGUAGAUAUUGGGAGGAACACCAGUGGCGAAGGCGACUCGCUGGACCGGUUCUGACGCUGAGGCGCGAAAGCGUGGGGAGCAAACAGG